rnacentral:rRNA from 1 species
UACGUAGGGGGCAAGCGUUGUCCGGAAUUAUUGGGCGUAAAGAGCGUGUAGGCGGUCCGGUAAGUCAGCUGUGAAAGUCAAGGGCUCAACCCUUGAAAGCCGGUUGAUACUGUCGGGCUAGAGUCCGGAAGAGGCGAGUGGAAUUCCCGGUGUAGCGGUGAAAUGCGCAGAUAUCGGGAGGAACACCAAUGGCGAAGGCAGCUCGCUGGGGCGUAACUGACGCUGAGACGCGAAAGCGUGGGGAGCAAACAGG